rnacentral:lncRNA from 1 species
GGAUGAUGUCCAAAGUCUGCUGUGCUGAAGACCUUCAGAGAAUGCUGGGGCUGAUAUUGUUCUAAGUAUCAUCCAAACCAAGUAAUAUUUAUGAUGGACUACAUUUUCCUUCUGGCAUUACCCCUUUGACAGGGACUUGAGCUAUGAUAUAAUUUUUGCAAGCAGGCCUUCAGUCGUCAGUUUCCCAAAGACAAGUCACUGCUGAAGAAGGCUCUGAAUUUUGAAAGUAGCUUCAGGAAAGAACUUCACAAAAAGUAUAGGAAGUUCCCAACUACCUAAUACUUCAGGAAUAAUACUGUGCAACUACUGCUGAGAUCUAAAAUGCAAGCCAAGAUCCCAAAUCAAAGCCCAGAUAUGAGUACUACCUGCUUGCCAGAGGUAUGAAAUUCUACACUGUGGUGACAAUAUUUCUAAUCAAGAAUGUUGGACUAAAGAAGCAUCUCCCAUAUUCUAUGUUAGAGCAGCAGGGCGCAGGAGUGCAGUUCAUCAAAGCCAUUGUAUUGAUGCUGAUGCAUAAACUGUCUGGCAUGGGAUACCACGGAGUAACAAAGAUUGACCAAGAUUCAGUGGCCUUGGACAUCUAAAAUUAAUUCCUUUUGGAGAACAGGCAAAUACAUGAUGAAUAUUUGAACAAAAAAGCGUGUGUUAGUAUAAUUGAACUAUUGAGCUAUCGUGUGUGAAUGGAAUUACACCAGAGAUCUCAAGAAAAAGCAAUGGCUGGGCAUUAUUUUCCAACCACAAUAUGGAAGAAGAAGGAAAAAUAGUGCAAAAGGCUCUGUGGUUACGAGAAGUUCGGGAUUCUCCUUAGUAGAAAGUCAAAGUCUUGAGGCGUGUAUAAUCUAUAAAAAAAUGGAGGAGAGGCUCUGAACUUGUCUGAUCUGAAGACUUGACACAACAGAUCUAUUGGUCUCAUUUAAUAACUCAUGGUCAUAUGCUUUGAAUUCUAUUCAAUCUUCAAUGUACUUAUUCUCACAGCACAUGAGUAAGUUUAAUAUUACCCCUACAAAGGAACAAGAACCAAGGCAAUUUUGUGACAAGAGAUUUCAAAUUGCGAUGUCUGACAAAAU